rnacentral:rRNA from 1 species
CCUACGGGUGGCAGCAGUAGGGAAUAUUGCUCAAUGGGGGAAACCCUGAUGCAGCAACGCCGCGUGGGUGAUGAAGGUUUUCGGAUUGUAAACUCCUUUUAUUAGAGAAGAUAAUGACGGUAUCUAACGAAUAAUCACCGGCUAACUACGUGCCAGCAGCCGCGGUAAUACGGUGGGUGGAAGCGUUCCUCGGAAUCACUGGGCGUAAAGGGAGCGUAGGCGGGAUAGCAAGUCAGAGGUGAAAUCCCAUGGCCGAACCACAGAACUGCUGUUGAAACUGCGGUUCUAGAGUAUGGGAGAGGUAGGUGGAAUUCCUGGUGUAGGGGUAAAAUGCGUAGAGAUUAAGAGGAACA